rnacentral:rRNA from 1 species
AUUGAACGCUGGCGGCAGGCCUAACACAUGCAAGUCGAGCGAGCGGCGGACGGGUGAGUAAUGUAUGGGGACUGCCCGAUCGAGGGGGAUAACUACUGGAAACGGUGGCUAAUACCGCAUACUAUCGGAUAACCCAUAUGGGAUUAGCUAGUAGGUGGGUGAAAGGCUCACCUAGGCGACGAUAUCUAGCUGGUCGGAGAGGAUGAUCAGCAACACUGGGACUGAGACACGGCCCGACCUCCUACGGAGGCAGCAGUGGGGAAUAUUGCACAAUGGGCGAAAGCCUGAUGAAGCCAUGCCGCGGGUAUGAAGAAGGCCUUAGGGUUUUAAAGUUCUUUCGGUAGCGAGGCGUUAACUACAGAAGAAGCACCGGCUAACUCCGUGCCAGCAGCCGCGGUAAUAC